UUUAGAGAAUUUCUGGGCUGAAGACAGAGCUAAUGAAGCGGCAAAGCCGUCUGGGUCUUUUUAGACAGAUCAACAACUACCCAUUCUAAGGAAAUGCCUUGGUUAACCACCCAAGUCAAACCCCAUGCCUAAUUGUUGGAGGAAAGGAUGAAGAUAUGUGCCAACAAUUAAAGACAUUGAAAUGUACCAUUCAUAUCAGGGAUCCCCUUCAGAGCUACACCUUGUUGACCAGUUUAUGUUAGAGAUGUGUAAAAUUCCUCAUUUAGGCCAAAGGUUGGAGCUCUUGCUUAUGAUAAGAGAACUUCCAGGGUACGUGAAAGAUCUUCAGCCUCUAUUAAACCAGAAAAUCCAAGCAUGCCAACAGCUGAAAGGCAGCCAGAUGUUUGUGGCUGUAUUAGAGUAUCUCUUAGCCAUCGGUAACUACUUAAAUAAGAAAGGCUGGGAAAGAGAAAGCCAGAGGAUUUCGAUUAUCUUCUCUUUCUAAAUUGUCCCUGCUUCAAGGCAAGGAGAAGAAGUUUACCUUGGUUCAUGCCCUCGUGGAACAGAUCCUUUUACACCAGCCCCAUUUGGCCAAGUUUCCUCAGGAACUGAUGGAAUUUGAAGCUGCUCCUGGAGCAUCUAUCAAAGGCCUCAAGGCUGAAGUGGAUGGAUCUAAUUCAGAAGUGUGAAGAGGACCUUUGUCAGCUGUCAAAAAGAUGUGAUGAAAUGAAGAAACUCUAUGGUGACAUUCCGGUAAAUGGUGUAUUUAAAAAAUAAUUCAAAUACAUCUUGCAUUAAAAAAAUGUAUAAAAUGUUCAAACCUUCAUAUAUCUGAAGUAAUACUGUGAUAUUAGAGUUUCUAUC